rnacentral:misc_RNA from 1 species
UAAUAAGUGUUUUAUGGCACUUUUUAAAUCCAUAUCCACCUUGUGUGCAAUGUCAGUCGAUCUUCUUCAUGGAGAUCGACCAAACAUCAACCUUUAUCUUUUAACUCUUUGUCUGAAAAAUAUUAUGAAUAAACAAUUCAAAUAC